AUAUAGUUUUAUUAACAUUUCGUGCAUCACGAAUAUACACUUGUAAUAUGGAGUUUUUUUGUACUAAAAAGAGGUAAGUUUGUGGGAAUUUGGGCCUCUAUCUUUUGGCGAGAAUAGAGUCCAAGACUUCAUCAUGGGAUUCAGAUAUUCUUUUUUCACAAAUUAAAGCUAUACAGUUAGGUUGUUUGCGUGCAAAAAAAUUGGUUUUUUUAUGUCCAUAACACUAGGUUAUAGUGUAAAAUUGAUCAUUUUUUUCAUUUAAUAAUAGCAUGUCAUUAUUGUUUUUUUGUUAUUCAGUUAAGUUUGGCAUAUGUAACCUUAUGAUUAACAUGGUGACCAUAUGGGGUUUAAGUGAAUAUGAAUCGUGUACAUCCUGAUGGGGGAUACCCAGGAAAUCUUCAAGACCCUAGUUUGUUGCAGCUUUAUCCAGAACAUUCUUCCUAUUUCAUAUGGGAAGGACAUGUAUAUAUAUAUAUAUAUAUAUAUUCUUCUGCUCUUUCCAUUACUUUGUUAUUUUUCAAUAAAUUGUAGUCUGUUUAAACAUCAUACGGGAAGUACAUGUAUAUAUAUUGUGAUUCAUAUGUUGUCUAUUUGUUGUAUUCCAGGAAAAAAGAGAAAUUAGAAUCGAUGAAAAGAGUUUUCAAUUAAACAAGUGGCAUAUAGCCGAUGAGCAAGUUGGGCUAGUGAAUGCAUCUGGGUUGGGUGCUCUAUCUAUAAUCCAGCAGAUAUGUUUGGGGUGCUGCAACCCUUUCAUAUCUUUAUCGUUCCCUUGGAAAAACUUGUACUUUCAAGCGAAGAUAUUUUAGUGGUUUAGCCACUCUUAUUGCUGGUCUUAUGAGCAUAUUAUGUAUAUGAGGCCCAUACCACAUAGUAUCUCUCCAAAUAUGCCUUAUGCAAUUAGAUGGGAGCCACCAAAGAAUUAUUAUGUCAAUCCACAUAACCUAAUGCCUCCAAUUAGAUAAGAAUUUGAUAACCUCCAACCUAAUGAGGUAAUAUGGAAUCCAUAUUUCAAGCCUUAUAAGGCCAUUUCAGAUGAUAGGCGGCAGGCAUUCGAAACCGCAAUGUGCUUAACGACCCUGAUAUUUAACGAUAUUGCCGAGCCGUAUAUGUCAUGUCGCGUGUGUCGGUAGUUUGGAGCUAAAUAGGGCAUUCCAAGAAAUCCCAUAUAUGUUGGUAAGAGAUCUAGUAGACAACGUGGGCAGUGAGAUUAAACAAAUGUAAAUUCUGACAAAAUCCAUCAUCGGUUGACUCAACAUGAA